rnacentral:rRNA from 1 species
AUUGAACGCUGGCGGCAUGCUUUACACAUGCAAGUCGGACGGUAACAGGUUAAGCUGACGAGUGGCGAACGGGUGAGUAAUGCAUCGGAACGUGCCCGAUUGUGGGGGAUAACGCAGCGAAAGCUGCGCUAAUACCGCAUACGAUCUGAGGAUGAAAGCGGGGGACCGUAAGGCCUCGCGCGAUCGGAGCGGCCGAUGUCAGAUUAGGUAGUUGGUGGGGUAAAGGCUCACCAAGCCAACGAUCUGUAGCUGGUCUGAGAGGACGACCAGCCACCCUGGGACUGGGACACGGCCCAGACUCCUACGGGAGGCAGCAGUGGGGAAUUUUGGACAAUGGGCGAAAGCCUGACCCAGCAAUGCCGCGUGCAGGAAGAAGGCCUCCGGGUUGUAAACUGCUUUUGUACGGAGCGAAAAGGCCCUCUCUAAUACAGUGGGCUCAUGACGGUACCGUAAGAAUAAGCACCGGCUAACUACGUGCCAGCCGCCGCCGUAA